AAGCCUCUCUCUCUAGUUUUCGUUCUAAUUAUAAUGUGAGAAAUACCUUCUAUGAACACCGAGACCCAAGUGCUUAAAACCUGGCAGACGCAUCGAAGCAUAAAGCAGGCCCGAGUGAUCGGACGAGAACAUCAUGCGCUCCAUGCAGCUCUUCGAAAACGUGAUUUAACUCGGGGAACAGAUCCUCGACCGCACACGCGUGGACUGUUUGGCCACACCGAAACCCGGAGCUACACUUUAGCAUAGAUUGCUCAGCUUUACACUGAAGCAUAUUAUGCAGACGAGCUUUGUUUCGAUAUAAAGCAAACCCCCAACAGACAAACAUCACAAAGACCACGAGGUUACAGGAGGAGGAACUUGCAAGUGUCUUUGCAACGAUGAAUCAGGUAUCUAUUCUGGUGUAGAGAGAGGAUUUGAGAGCUGCCCUGCUAUCACCAGUGUAGACAUUAAGAGUAGUACAGUACAUGUACACUGAGAUUUGCCAUCACGUGUUUGUGUAAACUUAAUGUGCACAUUUUGUAUUUCAAAAAAGAAAAAUAAAAGCAAAAUAAAAUGUU